CAGUCGCCGCGGUAAUACGUAGGGUGCGAGCGUUAAUCGGAAUUACUGGGCGUAAAGCGUGCGCAGGCGGUUGUGUAAGACAGGUGUGAAAUCCCCGGGCUUAACCUGGGAACUGCGCUUGUGACUGCACAGCUAGAGUACGGCAGAGGGGGGUGGAAUUCCACGUGUAGCAGUGAAAUGCGUAGAGAUGUGGAGGAACACCGAUGGCGAAGGCAGCCCCCUGGCCAAUACUGACGCUCAUGCACGAAAGCGUGGGGAGCAAACAGGAUUAGAUACCCCUGUAGUCCCUGUCUCUUAUACC
rnacentral:rRNA from 1 species